rnacentral:rRNA from 1 species
GGUAACCUACGGGGCGCAGCAGUGGGGAAUAUUGCACAAUGGGGGAAACCCUGAUGCAGCAACGCCGCGUGAGUGAAGAAGGUUUUCGGAUUGUAAAGCUCUGUUAGCAGGGAAGAGGAAGGACGGUACCUGCAGAGGAAGCCACGGCUAACUACGUGCCAGCAGCCGCGGUAAUACGUAGGUGGCAAGCGUUGUUCGGAAUAACUGGGCGUAAAGGAUGCGUAGGCGGUUAAACAAGUUAUAUGUUAAAUAUACAGGCUUAACCGGAGAAUUGCAUCAGAAACUGUUGAACUUGAGUGCAGAAG